GUCCCUGUAGCGCAAUGGAUAGCGCGUUGGACUUCUAAUCAAAAGGGGUUGUUUCGAAUUCUACCUGGGAUG